rnacentral:sRNA from 1 species
CCGUCUCGAUCUGCUGCGGACAUAUAUAAUGGAUAUGCGAGUCGAUCCCGCCGGCCGUAAUGAUCUUGCCUUCCCCGGCAAUGACUUCGGUUGAAGCGCCGACCACCAUAUUCGGGUCCACGCCGUCCAUAAUAUCGGGAUUGCCCGCCUUGCCGAUCCCGACGAUCACCCCGUCCUUGAUCCCGAUGUCCGCCUUGAUAAUUCCACUAUGGUCAAUAAUGACCGCGUUGGUAAUCAGGGUGUCGAUCACACCUUGAUCCCGGGUAUGCCGGCUGGAUUGGCCCAUCCCGUCGCGA